rnacentral:sRNA from 1 species
UCGUCUAUUUGUUGUGGGCAAAUAAAAUGAAUAUGAGAGUCUAUUGCGCCUGCGGUAAGUAUUUGACCUUCACCUGCAAUCACUUCUGUGCAGGGGCCAACAAUAAUUGUUACACCAGGUUGAAUAUCGGGGUUACCCGCUUUACCUAUUGCAGAAAUUCGACCAUUCUUGAUUGCCACAUCGGCUUUAACAAUGCCCCAGUGAUCGAGAAUUAGCGCGUUAGUAAUUACGGUAUCUGGUGUUUUAUCACUGGUGGCUUGGCUUUGGCCCAUGCCAUCGCGA